CAAUAGCGUAUAUUAAAGUUGUUGCAGUUAAAAAGCUCGUAGUUGGAUUUGUGGUGUACUUCGGCGGCCCGUCACUAUGUGAUGGAGCUUGCUGAAGUCGCCAUCCUUGGGUGGAUCCUGUGUGGCAUUAAGUUGUCGUGCAGGGGAUGCCCAUCGUUUACUGUGAAAAAAUUAGAGUGUUCAAAGCAGGCUUAUGCCGUUGAAUAUAUUAGCAUGGAAUAAUAAGAUAGGACCUUGGUACUAUUUUGUUGGUUUGCGCACCAAGGUAAUGAUUAAUAGGGACAGUUGGGGGUAUUCGUAUUUCAUUGUCAGAGGUGAAAUUCUUGGAUUUUUGAAAGACGAACUACUGCGAAAGCAUUCGGCAAGGAUGUUUUCAUUGA
rnacentral:rRNA from 1 species